UUUUGUUUUUUUUUUCUUUUUAAAAGGCGUGCCACAACUGUGCUGUUUUUGGGGACCAAGCAUGGAAUAACUUGGUUUUAAUUAAUUUCAAUGGGAAAACAUUGAUUUGAGAUACAAGUGUUUUGGGUUCUGAACCAAUUCAACACAUAUUCCUGGGUACCACUGUAUUGAGUUUGUAUUAUUUUAAGUACCAUCAAACUUCAUUAUGUGUUAUAACUCCUAAACUUUGCUUUUUUCACAGGAUUAAGAGUAAAAAAGAAGUUGUUUACCAACAUCUUUGUGACUUUCUUGUCACGGGCAGGGCGCAUUCCAAUGCGCCCUCAUCUUUGCAUCCUGACGGGCGCACCGCGGACCACGCCCACAGGUGUUCUCUCUCCGCUGCGGGCGUGCCUUCGCGCACCUGCAGACAAUCUGCAAUCUGCGCACCUGCCCACAAUGAGCGAGCUGCCUUCAUAAGCCUGCUCAACCUGCCAUCCCGGGCCGGAAUAUAAACUUCUGUUGGCGUACCUUCCCUGUGUGCAUCCCUGAGUCAAGCUAGGCGUCUUGUGCUCCUGGAUCUUCCCUGCCUCCCUCGUGCUUCCUGGUUCUCGACUCCUUGCUAGCCCCCGGACUACGACGACUCGCUCCUACCUCUCGACCCCGCUUCCGCCCCUGGAUCAUCUGCCUGCCCCACGGACUUCCGUGUUCCUUCGCUCUCGACAACACUUGCAGGUUAGACUACUCUAAUGGCCUUCUCAUUGGGGUCUCGAAACAACCUGCACAGCAGCUGCAGUACAUCCAAAAUACUGCUGCUCAAAUCCUGACUCGAACCAAGAAAUAUGACCGUAUUAGUCCAGUGCUUAGGUCAAUGCACUGGUUUCCUGUUGCUUAGAAAAUAGACUUUAAAACAGCUUUCCUUGUGUACACGUCUUUUCAUGGUCUUGUGCUGAAGUACAUCUCUGACAUGUUAGAGACAUAUGAACCAUCUCCAGCUCUGAGAACCUCAGGGACUGGUCUCCUGCUGGUGACCUGAGGUAGUACCAAACAAGGCGACACUGUGUUUCAGUUUUAUGCUCCUAUUUUCUGGAAUAGUCUUCCUGAUGAUGUGAGAUGGGCCUCAACAAUGGCAAUGUUCAAAUCCAGACUGAAAACACUUUUAUUUAAUUGUGCAUUUGACAACUGAAAGUAUUUCUUCUACAGUAUUUGAUUGAUGUUUAACAAAUUAUGAUUGUUUUUAAUGAUUUUAAGUUGAAUUAUUUUUCCUUUUUUAAAUUUUUUUUAAAACACUUUAAAUUGCUUUGUGUACGAAUGGUGCUUUAUAAAUAUAAUUGUCUUGCCUUUCCUAAAUUAUUAAAUUUGAACAUGUAGCACACACUGUAUUGUACAUAUUUUUUAAAUUUUUAGACAGUAAAAAAACAAAUGGACUUUUUG